AGCGCACCAGAGUCCCUGUUUCAAGUGGCUGGGGAUGUAGGGAGAGAGGGGCAAAAGAGGGGACAUCAGGUGGUCUGGGGUGCUCCAUGGGCUCACCUCUGAGGGCUGCCAGAUUUCUGCAGGUCAAAGUUCUGAGCUGCAAGAAGGAGAUGAGGGAAGAGGAGGAUUGAGGCCAAAGCUGGAAUGAGCCAUUCUCUGAAACCUCAGGAGGACAUGGGAGAAGACUCGGGCCCUAAGAAGUCAGAGAGCCACGAAGAGAACAAAUACGGAAAUCAAGGCACGAGAUCUGGGACUCUGGGAAGCUGUUAGGGCACGUCACCGCGGCAGCCAGCCGAGGGCAGCUCCACUGCACCCUCAAAGCAGGAAACAAGGGCAGGGCUGGGUCGGGGAGCACGGGCAGGGGCAGAAGGCUGCACCCCCCUCCCCCCACCGGGUCGCCUCCAGCGGGCUCCAGUCCCGGGUGCUGAGCUCAGAGGAGCCCUCCCGCUCCUCCGUGUUCCCGCCCUGCGGUGGGGACUCCGGCUGGGGUGGGGGUACAGCGUCCUGCUGCUUGAUCCCUCCCCACACCUCCCCGCCGCCGA